rnacentral:misc_RNA from 1 species
CGCAAAAGUCUUCUUGCCAUCCCUAACUCCAUUAUUGCUUAGCUAAUCCUAAUCUCUCUGAUAUUUCAAGAAAAACAGAUAUAGAAAGUCCUCUGUAAAGGAAAGAAAUGGGAAGGCUCAAUCAUGAUCCAAGAAUCCACCACUUCAGCCACCCUCACCCCCUAGAGCUAUCAAACAACAACCUUCAAUCUCUAUCUCCAUAUACAACUCCAUGUUCAGCCUGUAAGCUCCAGUCUUCUGGGUGGAUAUACUCUUGUAAGCCCUGCAACUUCACCCUCCACUUGUCAUGCAGCCAACUUCCCUCUUUAAUCAAACACCCAGGCCAUCCCAUCCACUCGCUUACCCUCCUUCCCACCCCAGCUUACCCAGGUGGAGCUUUCAACUGUGAUGGUUGUGGCAGCGAUGGCCAUGGCUUCAGCUACCACUGCAACAAAUGUGGCUUUGAUAUUCACGCUACUUGUGCUCAAAACCCACUUUCACUUGCCCAUCAAUCUCACCCUCACACACUGCAUCUCACCUUUCACCCUCCUUACCACACCAAAGGCUUCUCCUGCGAUAUAUGCCAGAAGAUCGGGUCUAACCACUGGCUCUAUCGGUGUGGUCCAUGCGAGUUUGACGCUCACUUGGAGUGUGCAAUGAGUGCUAAUGUUAUGCCAAGGGGUCAGACUCAGUCUCAGGCUCAGGCUCGUUUUCAGCGAUGUCUGAAUUUCCCAGGAACGAAUCAUCAAUACCAGCAACAUGAGAAUAGAGUUCUUCCGCCUUCUAUGCAGGGGAAUAAUGAUACUACUGGUGUGGUGGAUGUACUGGUUCAAGGGUUUCUGGAUGGAGCUGCACAUCAGAGUAUUGUGCAAAGCAUCAUGGGUGAUGGCAGUAGCAACAAUUGUGAUUCUUUUGCUGCUGCUGAUUCUUCUAAUUCCUCAGAUCUAUAGUUGAUCUUGAAUCUGAUUUGCAAAAUUAGAAGAUUGGAUUGAUGCCUUCAAAGAUGCAAGAAUCACAAAGGGUGUUGCGCGGUUUUCCUUUAAAUAUAUGGGUGGUCUGCUUUAUUUAUGAACGUUGGUAAUGGAUCAUAACAUUGAUCUUUAUCAAUACUAUCACUUUUAACUAUUAAUUGUCAGUUCAUAUAGAAGUAUUAAUUAUCUGUUCUGUUCAUCUUGGAAUCAGAUUAUACCAUGGAGAUUACUGGAUUUUAUUUUUCUUUUAAUAUUGAUCUUAUCAAUAUUAUUAUAUUUUGAUAGAAUUUCAACCAAGUUUCUUAUUUGAGAGCUAGCCAUACAAUGUUUUUCACUCAGCACUCUGUAAAAACAAUGAAUAACGGUCUCUUGUAUGGUUCUCCAUAUUAACAAUGAUUUCAACAAUUUUUUUAAGAAAUCAUAACUACUAUAUGCUUCUAAUAUACACUUGGCAACAAAUGAUUGCUGUUCACAGAAUGAUUAGGAUAAAAUACCUAUUUAGAAUUGUCAAUCAAUAGUAUUUUCUCUGGAUGAAGAGGUCCAUUCUCACUGUGUAAAACCUUGCUAUGCCAUCUUAUCCUAUCUGUAAUGCCAUGCAGCUUCACAAUGAUAUCAACAUGAUCUCUUAUUAUAACAGCUCCUUCUGGUCGAAGAAUCCGGUACAUUUCAAGAAGGAUAUCAAGAAUGUCACACCUGCUCGAGAGAAGAUAAAUUCAAAUUGAACAUGAGCAUUUCUAUUCUCCGUGAUUUUUUUAUUUACAAUUGACAAACAAGAGUAUAUAGAAGCAGCAACUUUGUUGGGCAACUGAUAUUUUUGCAUUCCUUAACGUUGACAAAUUUUCUCUUCAAUAAGUUUUUCAUCCCUUUUGAUCUUUUGAUCUUUAUUUUCACGUUCUCAUUGAUCUUUUGCAGGAGAUGGGCGCAGGCGCACAACCAUUGGUAAACAACUUCUGCAAUCACUCAACAAAAGAAAUAGAAUUAGAUCACUUACUUGUUCAUAUACAUGCUGAAUACACCAUAGGCAUGUAUCAAAUCAUAUGUCCUAGGGUACGUAUCAAAGGCCUCACACCAAUUCAUGUAAGUUCCAAUAAGGCCACGCUCGUACACAAUGCUAAGAUUGUUCUUUUUUGCAUCAAAAGGUAUGACAUUCAUUACCCAUACUGGAUACUUUAUCAGUGCUGCAGCAAAACCACCAAUCCCAGCAUUCAUAUCCAUUAUAUUUCUAUAUCUACCUUCAGGGAGAGAUUUGAGUAUUUUCUCAUAAUAUCCAACUCUUCUUUGCCAUAACUGAUUAUCCUUAUCAUAGGCCCUGACAGAAAUUCCUUCACUUCUUAGCCUAGGCGGAGCAGCACUUAACCUUUUUGGCCAUUUUAAAAGAGCACCUCCAGAAAUAUCAUGGAUGUCUGUCACAUUCGGAAGAGGAGUAAUGCAUGGUUCCAUCUUUUUAUACCAACCAGCAUCAGGAUCACUGUUAAUACAAAAACGAGGAGAUUUCCAAGUCCUUGACAUUUUUAUGCAGUUUAAAUGAUUAGUGGGUUUUCUCCACACAGCAAUAUGCCCCCUCUCUGCAACUUUCUUCCAGCACAGUCGCCUGGCAAGAUCUUCCAAUCUGUUUUGCUCUUUUUCCAUGACCUGAGGUUGUGUCUCCCAUUUCUUAGAUCUAACCUUCCAACUUAUAGGUGGUCCAGACAAUACCCAAUAGCCACCAGGUCGCAGCACUCGGUCAAUCUCUAUCAGAUAAAGUCCAUCAUAAUUAGUCCAUUGCACCAGGCAUCUAGAACAGUGAGCCAUAUCAAAUGAUCUUGAUGGGAAUGGCAACCGAUGAGUGCUAAGUAUACCAAGCAUUGCUGGAAGACCUCUUUCCAAGGCAAACUGCACUUGAGCCUGAUGUUGAUCUAUUGGAGCAAUUGACAUUGUCAAUAUGUUAUAGUCCAUUAGAAAUGCUCCAAAGCUUGCUACCCCACAUCCAACAUCAAGAACAGUCCUUAUACUCCCAGAUUUCAAAGGCACCAUACGUGUAAUCUCCUUAACAUAGACCUCCACUCCCUUCGUAAACGAACUCCCACCCCCUGGAAAAAUCAGCAAAUCACCUUCCAAUCUAACCCAAUUCUGAGGUUUCUUGAAUUCAGUCAGCUUCUUAAAUGGCACAUUCUUGAACCAAGCAUAGUCCCUGCUUUUGGGCCAAGGAAACGGUUUCUUGUACCCAACGGGCUUUGGAACCAAACACCGUGGUUUUUUAUUAUGUUCUUGGCAAUGCCUCUCUCGAUGGAAGAAUUUAUCAGUUGAGAAGAGCAUUUCCCUUUGUGGGUCAUAGCAAGGGCAGUAAUCAGUGAAGUUCAGAGGGCAAAAAUUGAAGAAUGGGGGAUCUUUGACAGGUUCUUGAGGGACAGAGAGCCUGUGGUGUGGUUCAAAGUCAAGAUGAGGCAAUGAGAAGUUGUGCUGGAGACAACUGAGUGAAUGUUGCUGGUUUUGGAGAAGAGGAGUAGAUGCAGGAGAAGUAGAGCUCAAAGAGUUGGUUUGGAUUCCAAGAAUGUAGGAAAGAGAAAAUAGAACAAUGACCAGGAGAAAUUUCACCAGAGGAUUCUUGAGAGGAUUUGUGUUUCCCAUUUGUUCUAUUCUUGAUGGGAUUUGAGUUUCACA